UUGGGAAUCUUGGUCAAUGGGCGAAAGCCUGAACCAGCGACGCCGCGUGGGGGAUGAAGGCCUUCGGGUUGUAAACCCCUGUCAGGAGGGACGAAGCCCGCCCUUCGCGGGCGGGUGACGGUACCUCCAGAGGAAGCCCCGGCUAACUACGUGCCAGCAGCCGCGGUAAGACGUAGGGGGCGAGCGUUGUCCGGAUUUACUGGGCGUAAAGCGCGUGUAGGUGGCUCGUUAAGUGGCGUGUGAAAGCCCGCGGCUCAACCGCGGGGGGUCGCGCCAAACUGGCGGGCUCGAGGGCAGCAGAGGGUGGUGGAAUUCCCGGUGUAGCGGUGAAAUGCGUAGAUAUCGGGAGGAACGCCGGUGGUGAAGACGGCCACCUGGGCUGUCCCUGACGCUGAGACGC
rnacentral:rRNA from 1 species